GUGCUCCCUUUAGCAGCACAUACACUAAAACUGGAACAAUAUGAGAAGAUCAGCAUGGCCCCUGUGCAGGAAUGGCAUGCAAAUUCGCCAAGUGCUCCACAUUAAA